rnacentral:tRNA from 14 species
CGGGGCGUAGCGCAGCCUGGUAGCGCACCGCAAUGGGGUUGCGGUGGUCGGAGGUUCAAAUCCUCUCGCCCCGACCA